rnacentral:piRNA from 1 species
UGGAACUUCAUUGCUAAUGCCUUCAUGAG